GGGAGUUCCCAGGGUCUGCUCUUCCACUGGGGAGUGGAAGAGAGAUAUCCUGUUCAAGGCUGGUUCAGCCACCAGCUAGAUUCAGGAGCCCUGACUCCUGAUGGAAUGGUGAACCAGGGUGGAAACCAGGACAUGAAAUAAGGCUGCAGAAACUACGUGCUGAAAGGAAUAUAGUUGUGUGGGGAAUCUAGUAUGUCAACAUCACCAGUGUAGCGUUUACUGCAUGCAAGAACUUUCCAGCAGUCCCUGGGGAACACUUCCUCUAAUCCCUUGCUAACUAAAAUGAAGUGUGGCAUCAGCCCAGCAGCGGCAGUGCCCCCCGGAGGUGUUAGAAAGGCAGAACUUCAGGCUCUACCUUGGAGCUGCUGAAUCUGAAUCUCAUUUAACAAGAUCCUCAGGAGAAGCAAAUGCACUGUCCUACCACAGUCUUCAUAACAUUCUUCCAGGGACAAGUCCAUCUGCAAGAUGCAGAAAUGAGCAUUGAUCUGGGGGAAUUUGAUCAGCAAUAAUCAAUCCCUCUAGCCACAGGAACUGGUGCCUGAUAAUAACAUAAUGCAAAGCAAGGCAAUAAGCCUCUAGCAAGCCUACUGACUUGACUUGGAAAAUCUGUGGAGUUUUGACUCACUAUCAGCUACAGCUGGAGCAGUGUGCAGCGUGAUGCAUGUGCUCAGUGCACGGCUGCUUAAAUGAGAGGACACACACAUCAACUCCCCUUAUACAGAGGAGGAAAAGGAGCUUUGUAAAAGGACAUGGCAGUAAACCUCCCGUCUGAGCCUGUAGCUCAUGCCUUUGCAUGUUUCAGCAAGAAUGAAGAAUAUCAGUCAAGAGUUUCCACAUCACGCCUGCCAGGGCUAUACCCUGGGUAUUUACAGAGUCGAGGACACUGAGACCAAUAUAACAGGUAGAUUGACUGUGAUAGAAAAGACGCCUCAAAUACAAUUUAUUCAAGUCUAAGAAAUGAAAUCUCAUUCAGUUUCAGGCCUCAUCAACAGCAGGGAGAACCACAAAUCACAAACUUCUUUUGCACUGGGAAAGGUGUUGCCAUGGGAACAGGGCUGCUGGCCAUUUGGCCAUCUCACUCAUCUCUAGAGGAAGGCAGGUGAGGAAGGAACUCUGAGAGCAAAGAAAAU
rnacentral:lncRNA from 1 species